rnacentral:rRNA from 1 species
AUGAGUGAGCCAACAGGCCUUGCUGAGGCUUUCGAGAAGCUAGCUAAGAUCCUUGAGGAGUCGAAAUCUGGGGCCAUCGUUCCUCGACAGGAAGUGGCUCAGAAGAUCGAACUGUCGCCCAUGGACAUGAAGUUAGAGGGGGCUACCAAUUAUCUGAGCUGGACCCGAAGGGCGUUGCUGGCUGUGGAACAGAAGGAGCUUGAUGGGCACUUGUUGGGUGCUGUUGCUGAACCAGGAGACAAGACUACUGUGGAGGGAAAGAGAUGGAAGGUCAUAAACUCUGUGCUCAUUGGCUGGUUGUUGAACUCGGUGGUGCCCCCCAUUGGACGCUCUGUGGAGGGGCUAUCCACAUCCGCUGCGAUAUGGACGACUCUGUCCACCUUGUACUCAGGUAAGGGCAAUGUCAUGCUCAUUGCUCAGAUUGAGGGGAAGAUCAGUCGGCUGCAUCAAGGUGAUGACAUGUCAGUGAUGACAUAUGUGGCAGAGCUGCAGGCUUUGUGGGCAGAGCAGGAUAACUGCGACCCUCUGGAACUCUAUGAUGCGGCUUGCAUCGAGUCAGGGCGCAAGUGGAUUGCACGCAGGCGUGUGCUGAAACUGUUGGAGGGGCUUAGAGGUUGCUUUCAUGGCAGGAGGGCAUCCCUGUUGCACCAACCUCUCCUGCCCUCUAUUGAGGAGACUAUUGCUGCAAUGUCUCAAGAGGAGGUGCGGCUAUCUCUUGAGCAUGCAGACAUGAAGGUUGUGCCGGCUUCGACAUUUGCAGUCACUGAGCGCAUGGAGUGGAGCGAUCCCAACAAAUGUCAUAUCUGUGGGGAGGUAGGUCACUGGAAGUGGGCGUGUCCAACUCGUGGCAGAGGCAGGGGAUACGACAGAGGGGGAACUGGCAGAGGCAGGCGUGAUAGAGGCAGAGGUGGAUACUCAGGGACCUCAAGGGGCCAGGCUUCUAUGGGUAGAGGUGGCUACUCAGGACACUUAGGGGAUCAGAGGGCUCACAUGACAGUGGCAGGAGACAUUGGGACGUCACAAGGCAAAGAUGCAGCUGAUGCUGACUAUGGAGACUUUGCUCUCUGGGCCUCCACUGAUGAAGGUAAUCCGGAUGAGGCAUGUCUUGCUUCUAAUGAGAGUGCUCCAGAGUGGGUUCUUGACUCUGGAGCAUCUAAGCAUGUUGCUAGUAAUUCCUGCAUGUUUGAGUCUUACCAUAAGCACCCUCCGUCUCACACGGGCACAAUGCAAACUGCUGAUGGCACAAACCAGCCUGUCAUAGGGGUUGGCACAGUCAAGUGCACUCCGACCAUCUCCCUAUCCUCAGUGUUACAUGUGCCAGCUUUUCCUGUCAAUUUGGUCUCUUUCAGUGCUCGAAUUGAUCAAAUUGACUGUCGUGUGAUCCUUGACAAAUUCGGUUGCGUGAUUCAGGAGCGCCAGACGAGCCAGACGGUUGGGACUGGCACCAGGCGUAGGGGGCUCUUGGUACAUGGACCAGGAGGUGCAGCCGGACUUGGUGUGUGCUGCGACCAUGGAGGACAAGGAGAAGGAGGCGAUGAUCCAUCACUGUAG